rnacentral:rRNA from 1 species
CAAUAGCGUAUAUUAAAGUUGUUGCGGUUAAAAAGCUCGUAGUUGGAUUUCUGCUGAGAACGACCGGUCCGCCCUUUGGGUGUGUAUCUGGCUCUUUCUUGGCAUCUUCUUGGUGAACGUUGCUGCACUUGACUGUGUGGAGCGCUACCCAGGACUUUUACUUUGAGGAAAUUAGAGUGUUUCAAGCAGGCAUACGCCUUGAAUACAUUAGCAUGGAAUAAUAAGAUAGGACCUCGGUUCUAUUUUGUUGGUUUCUAGAGCUGAGGUAAUGAUUAAUAGGGAUAGUUGGGGGCAUUCGUAUUUAACUGUCAGAGGUGAAGUUCUUGGAUUUGUUAAAGACGGACUACUGCGAAAGCAUUUGCCAAGGAUGUUUUCAUUG